rnacentral:rRNA from 1 species
ACUCCUACGGGAGGCAGCAGUGGGGAAUCUUGGACAAUGGGCGCAAGCCUGAUCCAGCCAUGCCGCGUGAGUGAUGAAGGCCCUAGGGUCGUAAAGCUCUUUCGCCAGGGAUGAUAAUGACAGUACCUGGUAAAGAAACCCCGGCUAACUCCGUGCCAGCAGCCGCGGUAAUACGGAGGGGUUAGCGUUGUUCGGAAUUACUGGGGCGUAAAGCGCGCGUAGGCGGACUGGAAAGUUGGGGUGAAAUCCCGGGGGCUCAACCCCGGAACUGCCUCCAAAACUCCCAGUCUUGAGUUUCGAGAGAGGUGAGUGGAAUUCCGAGUGUAGAGGUGAAAUUCGUAGAUAUUCGGAGGAACACCAGUGGCGAAGGCGGCUCACUGGCUCGAUACUGACGCUGAGGUGCGAAAGUGU